AAUAGAAUAGCCAAAUCUGAAUUUCAAUUAUCCACCUUCAAGGGCACAUGAACAUCCUCAGGAGGGGAGUCCAUGCAAAAUUCAUGGGGCCUGGCUUCACUGCCCCCCCCGCCCCCCGGGGUCAACAGUUCUGUGGGCUUCCAGGGUUCCCACUGCUCCAAAGCUGGCAGAAGGUGAGUCUCACCCAGCCUGUCAAAAGAACCUAGAAUCUCCCGAAGGUGGCUGUCUCCAAGGGAGACGGGAAGCUCUGGGCAGACGAUCUUCCCCGUUAAGAUAGUCCCUGCUGGCCCGGGAACUGGGGAGAGCAUUCACACUUGCCUGGACGCAUCCUAGUCAGUGACCUAGACUGAGCUACUGACACCAAGCCGAGCUGGUGCCAUCACCCAGAAACCCAGUGGGAACCCACCUAGGCCAGGCGGGAGGAAGUCUCUUCAGGUCUGCCGAUCUUUGAGUCAUCAUGACAGUGACAACAGCCACACAGGUAGUGUAUUGGCUAAGACCCCAGAGCUGACAGCCAGACAGUCUAGAUCUGAACCCAGGAGCUGCUACAUGUAACCCAUGUGGUCUUGGAAGCCUCAGCUUCCCUAUCUACGAUGUGGAGCAAUGGCAUCCUGCCUCCCGGGACUGUUGUCCCCACAGCCUGGACUGAAGGCGUGACCUGGGCGAGGGGUCGUUCCAAGUUCUUUGAGACAACUACAGGUCUAAUGCAGUCCUGGGGACCACGCCAACUCAACAGAGCCCACUCUGGCUGGUUGAACCAGAAAAGGAAUCUAGUAAAGAAUGUCAGACAGCUCGUGAAAUCUCCAGGAGACCAGAGAACCAAUCUCGGAAGGGAGCAGCCUGAGAUAACACUCAAAUUACGGUGCCUGGCUGCUCCCAUGAGAUGGCUGCCACUGCCACAUCUGGGUAAGGACACCUCGGCUCCUACUCAAUAUGAUUUAAUAAACGAGUAACUGAUUAGU